rnacentral:rRNA from 1 species
UACGUAGGGUGCAAGCGUUGUCCGGAAUUAUUGGGCGUAAAGAGCUCGUAGGCGGUCUGUCGCGUCUGCUGUGAAAACUCGGGGCUUAACCCCGGGCCUGCAGUGGGUACGGGCAGACUAGAGUGCGGUAGGGGAGACUGGAAUUCCUGGUGUAGCGGUGAAAUGCGCAGAUAUCAGGGGGAACACCGGUGGCGAAGGCGGGUCGCUGGGCCGUAACUGACGGCUGAGGAGCGAAAGCGUGGGGAGCGAACAGG